rnacentral:lncRNA from 1 species
UCCUCCUAAAGUUGCGACAGUUCAACGGAGUUGGUACAAUUCAACGUCUCCAUCCUCGAUCGGACGGUCCAGAAUAGGAAUACAUCUGAACACUGGCUCCUUUUGACGACAGUAGUGGACUGGAGGGCCUGUGGGAUGUGAGUACGUGACAAAGAUCUGAACCUCUGAGAUGGCCUGUAGCUAGCUGUAGUCACUGAUCUCUGCGGCGU